GACGAACGCUGGCGGCGUGCUUAACACAUGCAAGUCGAACGGAAAGGCCCAGCUUGCUGGGUGCUCGAGUGGCGAACGGGUGAGUAACACGUGGGUGAUCUGCCCCUAACUUCGGGAUAAGCUUGGGAAACUGGGUCUAAUACCGGAUAGGACAAUCGUUUAGUGUCGGUUGUGGAAAGUUUUUUCGGUUAGGGAUGAGCCCGCGGCCUAUCAGCUUGUUGGUGGGGUAAUGGCCUACCAAGGCGUCGACGGGUAGCCGGCCUGAGAGGGUGGACGGCCACAUUGGGACUGAGAUACGGCCCAGACUCCUACGGGAGGCAGCAGUGGGGAAUAUUGCACAAUGGGCGCAAGCCUGAUGCAGCGACGCCGCGUGGGGGAUGACGGCCUUCGGGUUGUAAACCUCUUUCGACAGGGACGAAGCCUUGGUGACGGCACCUGUAUAAGAAGCACCGGCUAACUACGUG
rnacentral:rRNA from 1 species